UUUAGAUAUCAUUGAUUGUAUGAGCCAGGAAAAUUUUUAUAUAGAUCAAGAUGAUAUGCUGAACAAUGAUUUUUGCAAGGCAGAGACCCAAAAAGAGCCAGAACUGAAGGAAACUGACUGUUGCAUCCAAUAGGUGGAUUGCAGCCAUGCGCAGAAUGAACAGAAGCAGACCGCACCACUUCAGCCUGGUGUGCAGAUCAACCUUGCACAAGCUGAAGAAAGCUCAAUUGCACCUCUUCAGAUGAGUUCGCAGAAAGGCCUUGUGCAGGAUAGUCCUGCAACACUUCCAAUCGCAUUUCUUCAGCUUCCAUCGCAUGAAACUCCUUCCAGUCUUCCCUUGCAAAUAGACCUUGCGCAAAAGGAGAAAACUGAAACUAGUCUCAUCAUUCAGCCAGUGCAAACAGCCCAUACUCACAUGGAACAUAUGGAAUUCCAAGUGCCUAAACCAAAGGAGCAUGUGGAUCAAUGCUUGCCUAAACCUCCGGAUAAGGUAGAGUUUGUUUUGCCAGAUUUUAGUACCAAUUUGUAACUACACAUGGAGAAACAUGAAUUGGAUUUCAAAGUGCUUCCCAAUCAUCUCAAAAAUGUAAACAUAAGGGCUAGAGGCACACCUCAUCUGAAAGAAGAGAAGCUAAUCAUGUUGCUUCAUGAGUACAUGGAAAAAAUAGGAUGGGUUAUGACCAAAUCAAAAUGAGUGCUAUACUUUUUGCUCAAUGCAGUUGGGACUCUUUUUCCCUCCCCAAUUACUUAAGCCUUGAUCAAGUGGAUCGCACCAUGCACACCACACCCAGG
rnacentral:lncRNA from 1 species